rfam:Camelus ferus isolate Naran unplaced genomic scaffold scaffold111827, whole genome shotgun sequence.
GAGGGUACAGCUCAGUGAUAGAGCAUGUGCUUAGCAUGCAUGAGGUCCUGGGUUCAAUCCCCAGUGCCUCCA